rnacentral:rRNA from 1 species
UACGUAGGGUGCGAGCGUUAAUCGGAAUUACUGGGCGUAAAGCGUGCGUAGGCGGUUCGUUAAGUUCGUUGUGAAAGCCCCGGGCUCAACCCGGGAACUGCGUCCGAUACUGGAAGGCUUGAAUCCGGGAGAGGGAUGCGGAAUUCCAGGUGUAGCGGUGAAAUGCGUAGAUAUCUGGAGGAACACCGGUGGCGAAGGCGGCAUCCUGGACCGGCAUUGACGCUGAGGCGCGAAAGCCAGGGGAGCAAACGGG